GCUGGAGUAUAGUGGCACAAUCUUGUCUCACUGCAGGCUCUGCCUCCCAGGUUCAAGCGAUUCUCCUGCCUCAGCCUGCCGAGUAGCUGGGAUUAGAGGUACCCACCCCAUGCCCGGCUGAUUUUUGUAUUUUUAGUAGAGGUGGGGUGUCACCAUGUCGGCCAGGCUGGUCUCGAACUCCUGACUUCAGGUGAUCUGCCCACCUUUGCCUCCCAAAGUGCUGGAAUUACAGGCGUGAGCCACCGUGCCCUGCCGACGUUUGGAAUUUAUGAGGAAAGGUACAAGAAUUCUUCUAGGCCAGUAAGUGACAGAACUGCAUGUCCCAGCCUGUGCAGCCCCUUGAGUGCAUGUUCUAGAGCCAUCAGCUCUAGAGUCCUUCCGGUUGUCAAGGGUCUCGAGUGCCACCUCUCUACCCUGUGAGAUACGCAGAGGACCCUGUAAAUGCCGUGCCCCGCAUGCCUCGGCCUGGGCGUGAGCCGUACGCGGGGGAGGUGGUGACGUUUGUAAUCCAGACGUCGUUUCGUUGCGACUGGGUCACCUGUGAUGCCCUAAGCCCUGAGAACUUUUCAGGAUUGCCAGAUUUAGAAAAUGAAAACGCAAAACUCCAAGUUAAAUUUGAAUUUAAGUAGACAAUGAAUACUUUUUUGGACCUGUUACGUGAGACAUGCACCAAAGCACGGAGAGGGACAGCCACGAUCCUGCCCGGAACGGGUCUUCAGAACUGGGCAGAGCAUGGCUCCUUUUGAUGGGGGCCCCAGAACUCCUUUUCAAAGGCAAUGGCAGGACGGGAUCCACAGUGGGUGGCCCUUUGAUAAGGAGGCAUCCUCCAGCCAGAGUUGACACCACGUGGACAAGGGACAGGACAGCCCCCUGCCUGUUGUCCCCAGUGUCCUCUGUGAAUGGGGACCAGCUGUCUUUCAGCACUAUUGACAAGAGCCAAGAUGUGGAAUCAAUCUAAGUGCCCAUCAGUGGAUGAAUGGAUAAAGAAAAUGUGGUGUAAAUACACAGUGGAACACUCUUCAGCCAUUUGAAACACAGAUAGAACUGGAGGCCAUUAUGUUAAGUGAAACAAGCCAAACAGAAAGGUAAAUACUGCAUGUUCUCGGAUGUGGGAGCUGAAGUGGAUCUUCUGAAGAUAGAGAAUGGACUGGUGUUACCAGGGGCUGGGAAGGAUUGGGAGUAGGGGGAUGAAGAGAGGUUGAUUAAUGGGUACACAAUCUCACAUAAUGUAUUGUAUGCUUUACUGAAAUAAAAACAGAAUGGUUGUAUGGGUACUCUAAGUAUGGUUUCUCCUAAACACAUACGGCUUCCACACCAUCAUAAAAUUGAAAAAUCAUUAAGUCAAGCACUGUCUAAUAUAACUUAAUACAAUGCUAAGGUCCUUCAUUUAAUUGUAACAUAAGUCACUCAAGUGUUGCCAUCCUGGAUGAUUUUCUUGGAUUUUUUUUUUUUUUUUUUUUUUUUAAGACAAGGUCUUCUUGCUCUGGAGUGCAGUGGUGUGAUCACAGCUCAUGGCAGCCUCAUACUCGUAGGCUCAAGCAAUCUUCUCAUCUCAGCCUCCAGAGUAGCUGGGACUACUGGCAUGUUCCACCAUGCCCAGUUAAUUAUUAUUAUUGUUUUUUGUAGAGACGGGGUUUUGCCAUGUUGUCCAGGGUAGUCUCGAACUCUUGGGCUCAAGCGAUCCUCCCUCCUCAGCCUCCCAAAGUGCCGUGUGCCACCAUACCCAGCCCCUCUUUGGUUUUUUAAAAGUGCCUGCUAGCUCAUCAGCACAGGAGCAAGGCGACUUGGAGCCACAAUGAGACAGAUGAUUGCCAGUGUUGUUUCAUUUCAGUUCUUAAGUUCCUGCAUGGGGUGCUUACUGAUGAGUCUGUCUCUCCUCUCAGGUAAGCCAGGCCUCCAUCCACUCCUGCACAGCAGGGAACGCUGCACGGUGGCCCAGGGUUCGUGGUGGGCACGCCGUACCCCUCACCCCCUCCACGUGGAGUCUGGCUGAGGGCUCCCUCCCGCAUGCCAGGCCUGGCAUGUCGGUGCAGGCCCUUGCAUUUCUGGCUGUGCUGCGCAGUCUCACCCUUGAGAAGAAGGGGGCGCUGUUGCCUCAGCCUUGCAGAGUUUCUCUGUGGUCAAACCACCCUGCCAGCCUCCCUGCUGCAGCCGGCAGCACGUCACUCCAUGCGGGAGGGGAGCCCCACCUAAGGUAGACUCAGCCUGUGGGAUUCUGGCCUGGCUUCCCGGCAGCAAGCAGGAGCUUCAGAUGCUCAUUCCCGCCGCGGUCGGCUGUGGCGGCGACUCAUACCCGUUUCCGCUCGAAUGAUGCCAGCUGUCCUGCUGCGCCACCUUCCUCUGUCCUCGCAUCCGCUGAUGGGAUUUCCGGUCGCUUCCACUUUGUGGCUCUUUUGAAGAAUGCCGCUAGGAACAUUCACACGCAGGUUUUUGGUGUGGACGUUCUUGGCCAUAAAAUAUGGCUUUUGGAAAAAUAAAGCUGAGACUUGGAGUUCACGGUGGGGGCUCCCCCAUCUGUGAACAGAAGCAGAAGUUUGGAACUGCCUUCUUUACUGCUCGAGAGGGAAAACUUGAGUGAAAACCAGGAUGCUGGCGAAUGUUGAGUAGCUAAGCUGCACAGGAAAUACCACUUGAUGACCUGCGAUCUGGGGAAGCCGCGCCAGGGCUCUGCGAAGCUGCGGACGAGGGAGGCGUCAGUGUGGGGGCUGCAGCUCAGCUCCGGGGGGGACGCGCCUUUCUCCACGGGACCUGGGGCUCAGGUGCUCACGAGGCUGGGGCGCUGCAGGCCACCCGCAGGGGAAACUGAGGCCCUCCAUUUUGUGGGGCUGGAAGACCUUUCCUUCCAAAAGCAGGUGUAGGCGGGAGCACCUGUGCAGUCCCUCUGUUCAGAUCCUCACCCACUUUUAAAUCAGGAAACAGCAGAUGAAAUGCACAGUGUGAAGGACAAGGAUUCUGCUGAGAGAAUUGCUCCGAGGGUUGCUCAAGUGAUCAUGGGAAAUAAUGCAUCAAACCAUUCUUUAGAUGCAGCUCAGGUGUGCCUUUUCUUCGCCUGUGCCCAUCCACCUGAGAUGGACCAUAACCAUAAAAGUCAGAAGGCACUGACCCUUCAGGACGUGACAGGGUUAAAAGAUGCUGGAGGGAAAGUCUGUCAUUGACUUUUAUUCACUUCCUUUCUCCAUUCUGCCAUUUGGAAGAAGCAUAAAUUGCAGAUGAUAAUUCAAAUUCCUGCAUCAGGUGGAAAGUAGCAGAUUUAAAACACUGCAAAGAAGGGGCUGAGCAGUGAGACGGAUGCUUUGGAACAAUCGAGAAAGUAAGAGCCAGCUGUAAGGUUGCCUGCAGCCAUGGAGCAAUGAAGUGUCAAGGUCAAAGAUCCCCCCAGGUCACGCAGUCCUGCCACUCUCCCUCCCUCUAUGGCCCUGCGCACUUCCAGUGGCAUAGCUAGGGUGGAUGAAGGGGACACCUCUGACCACAUCUCUCUGCCCUCUGACUCAAGUCCUUCCUGCUAUAAUGAAAUCCCCCAUGCUCCCUGAGUUUGGCAUCUACUUAAUCAAAGAAUGUGGAGACUUAGUUCUCAGGAGGGCCGCUACUGAGUGGGUAUGCCACUGGUCAAGAGGGUAACAGGAGACAGAAGACCCAGGAGGAGACUUUGGCCUAAAUGGAUCAGCAACACCACAGAGCAUCCACUCCCCCAGAGCAUCACCCGGAAGGACCAUCCGUUCGGAGACAUCCUGGGAGAACAAGAGGUUUCUUGUCUGACUCUAAAAUUUAUUUUAUCAGUGUAUCUAGGAUUGGGCUGAGUUUAAACAGAAAACCUUUAAAUAAGCACUAUAUGCCUGCUAGACAUAUUAAUGCAAUAAAAGAACCCUGUGUCUUGCUAAACUAAAUUCUCAAAAGUUAACAUUAAAAAAUGAUUCACGG
rnacentral:lncRNA from 10 species